GUUAACCCCCAACAACUGCUCCCUGGGUGGCAAAAAUCCAUCUUCAUUAUUCCCCAUGUUGCUCCACCUCCACUUCCUGGAGGUGCCAGGUGGGGCCACAGAGCAGGUAGGUGCAGAUUCUUCUCCACUGACAUCAACGCUACAAUGUGAUACUGCACCUCAGUUACACUGAAUGCAGAUCUAGAGGAACUUGUUAAAAAGAGCAGAAUGUUCUGUGGGUGUUAUAAUUGGGGUGAUCUGUGCGCCAGCUUCCACUGCCAACAAGGAACACAACUGCUUUACACAUUGCAUUGUUGUGAACCACACUUAUCUUCAGUCUAAUCCAGCUGUACAGUUUUACCUGAUGUAAAUCCUUUUUAUCAUAACAAGCUGUCAAAAGGUUCCUGACAUAUAUCUUAGACUUUAACAGUUGGUAAUUUUUUAUCAUUUUUUAUUCAUUAUGUUUUAACCUCCAGGCUCCUCCAUCUUCUCCUGCCAACUCUGUCAGUCCACCAGACCCAACAAUGCAGUCUCCACACCACUGCAGUAACAGCCAUAUCUUCACGUCACAAAGCUUCAGUACUAUCUGAAUGUGUUGAAGUACCAUCCAGCAUCCUGUGGCAACCGCAAUGUGAAUCAAAUCAAAUAAAUUAGAAUAUACAUCCGCACUGACCCGUGAAUCCGCACUGACCCAUGAUCACCACCGACCCGGGCUCUACAGAGGCAGCCUUGGAUGCCCAGGCUUUGCACACGUUCAAGAACACAUGAUUUUGAAGAAUCCCAGUGAGCAAAAUGAACGUAUUUAAAACCUCUUAAGGAUCUCUACAGAUCGGUGUCCCACCCGCGGGUCGGUUGAGUUAAGGUUGUAAGUAACAAGAACACAUUUCCCAGGACAUAGAUAUAUCUGAUAUUGGCAGAAAGCUUUAAUUCUUGUUACUCUAACUGCACUGUUCAAUUUACAGUAGCUAUUACAGUGAAAGAAUACCAUGCUAUUGUUUGAGGAGAGUGCACAGUUAUGAACUUGAAAAGUUAUUAAUAAUCCAAUUCGGCACAUUUGGUCAGUCUUGGCACAUUUUUUAAUCAGAAAUGCAAUGUUUCAUUGGAUCAGUCUAAAACUUUGCACAUACACUACUGCCAUCUAGUGGCCAAAAUCUAAAUUGCGCCUGGGCAAGAAUAAUACAUUAUGGC
rnacentral:lncRNA from 8 species